rfam:Hordeum vulgare subsp. vulgare, WGS project CAJW01000000 data, contig: morex_contig_138338
CGUAUACUCCCUCCGUUCGAAAAUACUUGUCUUAGAAGUAGAUGUAUCUAGACUUAUUUUAGUUAUAGAUACAUCCAUUUUAUAAAAUUUUUAAAACAGGUAUUUCCGGACGGAGGGAGUAUAUC